CCUACGGGUGGCUGCAGUCGAGAAUCAUUCACAAUGGGGGAAACCCUGAUGGUGCGACGCCGCGUGGGGGAAUGAAGGUCUUCGGAUUGUAAACCCCUGUCAUGUGGGAGCAAAUUAAAAAGAUAGUACCACAAGAGGAAGAGACGGCUAACUCUGUGCCAGCAGCCGCGGUAAUACAGAGGUCUCAAGCGUUGUUCGGAAUCACUGGGCGUAAAGCGUGCGUAGGCUGUUUCGUAAGUCGUGUGUGAAAGGCGCGGGCUCAACCCGCGGACGGCACAUGAUACUGCGAGACUAGAGUAAGGGAGGGGGAACUGGAAUUCUCGGUGUAGUAGUGAAAUGCGUAGAUAGCGAGAGGAACACUCGUGGCGAAGGCGGGUUCCUGGACAUUAACUGACGCUGAGGCACGAAGGCCAGGGGAGCGAAAGGGAUUAGAUACCCGGGUAGUC
rnacentral:rRNA from 1 species